AUAAAAAAGAAGCUGCUGUGUCCAAAGAACUCAAAAAGCCAGCAAAAGCUCCUGCAGCCAAUCCAGCUAUCAAAAAAGCAGCAGCACCAGAACCACACAAGAAAGAAAAAGCGAUGGAGUCUGCCAAAACAGCAAAGAGAGAAGUAAAAGUACAUGGAUCUGAGCAAAAUCCGAAGUUAAAAGGACCUGAAAAGAAGGAAGUAAAAGCAACAAAGGCAACAGAACAAGAUAAACCAAAGACGAAACAUGGAAAUCCUGAAAAAGAGAAGGAAUUGAAAUCUCCAGCAGCUACAAAAGAUAAAGCACAUGCUAAAGAAAAGGAAGAAAAGAAUCCUACAUUUUUAAAAGAAAAAGAUUCUCUGAAAGGAAAAAAUCCCAAGAAUCCAGAGAGUUCAAGGGAAAAAGACUCUUCAAAAGGAAAAGAUAUUAAGGCUUCAAGUAAUACUAAGGAAAAAGUUGCAGUGAAAAAGGAGGGGGAGAAGAAAGCUACCUCAGAGAAACCUCAUGAACACAAGCAUGAACAUGUUAAACAUGAAAAAGCUAUCUCUCAGAGUAAGCCAGAGGAGAAAAUGAAACAACAAAAGACAACUCCCACUGUGAAAUCAGAGCAUGAAGCAGUCAGACAUCAAAAAGAUGGUCCACGAACAAAACCAGGUAAGGACUCCUGCAUUUUAUGUAUUCAUUACUUUUGAAAAUGUUAUUUAAAGAAAUAGCGAAAUAAAAUUGUAUAUGACAAAUGUCA
rnacentral:lncRNA from 1 species